CUCUCUCCUCUCUCUCUCUCGGCUUUCCGAGGUCCUAAGGCCACCUCUUCCUCUUCCCUACUCGGUUAUCGAGGGCGGCGAAUUCUGCGAUCCGAAUUCGAUCUCAUUCCCGAUAAAAUCCUCGUACUUUCCUCCGAUUUCGAUGGGGCGCGGCCUCCUGAGCGACUGAUUUCGAGGGCGAUCUCGCUUCAUGAAGCUCCGCAGCCGGAGACCAGGAGGAUCCCACUGAUCCUAGUCGAUCUGAAGCUUCUUCAGGCUUUCAGCUUCCAAUCUUGGGUUUCUUGGAUCAAUUCGACGGCUGGGUUAAGGGUUUGGAUUCUUUGGUUCGGAUAGGGAAGGGGAGGGAGGGAGAGGAUCCGAUUUGGGGACCUAGGGUUUGUCCACCUUGAAUCUUGAAUUGAAAGAUUUAGUUUUUUGAUUCUUUUUGUGAGGGGGACUUGGGGGCUAGGGUUUCUUGCAUUCUUUUUGUCGGUUUUCCUCGUUUUGUUGAGGGAGAGGGCUUGGCUGGAAUGGAUUCGGAGACGGUGAGGUACGUGGCGUCGUUUGACCCGGAGCUUCUGCAGCUUCCGGAGCUGUCCCAUUUGGCUCUCAAGGAGAGACCUAAAAUGGCUGAAGAGCUGUAUUUCCAGUGGCUUUCGUUGCCAGAAACGGGAAAAUUGGUUAAGUCAUUGAUUGAAGAUGUGAAAUCAGGUUCACCUUUAAAUGCUGCUGGCAGCUCUAGUACAUCGAAUGCUGCCACUAACAGUUCACUGCCGUCCAUGUUUCCUGCCGGCAGUGCACCUCCUCUCUCACCUAGAAGCACUUCUGGAUCUCCCCGUUUUAUGAAGCGUAGUUCAGGAGCUGGACCUUCACCAUUUGGUUCUCCAUUAAAGUUAGUGAGUGAACCUGUCAAAGAAGUUAUACCUCAGUUCUAUUUCCAAAAUGGGCGUCCACCUCCAAAAGCAAUGAAAGAUCAAUGCUUAUCUAGAAUUGAUUAUCUUUUCUUUGGUAACAUGGAUGGACUACAAAUCCAAGAAUUCAAAACAGUUACGAAGGAAAUCUGCAAGUUGCCAUCAUUUCUUUCAAGUUCUCUUUUUAGAAAGAUUGAUGUGGAAUGCACUGGAAUGGUGACAAGGGAUGCAUUUAUCGUUUAUUGGGUCAAUGGCAACAUGAUGACAAAGGAUAUAGCUACACAAAUAUUUACAAUUUUGAAGCAAGCAGAUCGCAAGUACCUCACUCAGGAGGACUUUAAACCAGUCCUGCGCGAACUUCUGGCAACCCAUCCGGGUUUGGAGUUCCUACAGGGGACACCUGAAUUUCAGGAAAGAUAUGCUGAAACUGUCAUAUACAGAAUUUUUUACUAUAUGAAUAGAUCUGGAAAUGGUCAACUUACCCUCAGAGAACUGAAACAUGGAGAUUUAAUUGCUGCAAUGCAACAUGCUGAAGAAGAAGAAGAUAUUAACAAAGUUUUGAGGUACUUUUCGUACGAGCACUUCUAUGUGAUAUACUGUAAGUUUUGGGAGCUUGAUACAGAUCAUGAUUUCUUGAUUGAUAAAGAGAACCUAAUCAGAUAUGGAAACCAUGCGCUAACCUAUAGAAUUGUUGAAAGGAUCUUUUCACAGGUUCCCAGAAAAUUUAAAAGCAAGGCUGACGGGAAGAUGGGGUAUGAAGAUUUUGUGUAUUUUAUACUAGCAGAGGAGGAUAAAUCAGCUGAGCCUAGCCUUGAGUAUUGGUUCAAGUGUAUAGAUUUGGAUGGUAAUGGAAUUUUAACUGCCAACGAGAUGCAGUUUUUCUAUGAGGAACAGUUGCAUCGUAUGGAAUGUAUGGCACAAGAACCUGUACUCUUUGAGGACAUAUUAUGCCAGAUGAUUGAUAUGAUUGGUCCAGAGAAUGAAAGCUAUUUUACACUGCAUGACUUGAAAGGCGGCAAACUUUCAGGAAAUAUUUUUAACAUCCUCUUUAAUCUCAACAAAUUCAUGGCAUUUGAAACACGUGAUCCAUUUCUAAUUCGACAGGAACGUGAAAAUCCAACUUUGACUGAGUGGGAUCGUUUUGCACAUAGAGAAUAUAUUAGGCUGUCUAUGGAGGAAGAUGGUGAAGAUGCCUCCAAUGGAAGCGGAGACAUAUGGGAUGAAUCACUCGAGGCUCCCUUUUAAUACAAUCUAUGGUUCAUUGCCAAAAAUAAAAGAAAAGAUUAUUUAUGGUUAGUUCUAUGUUCCAGAAGAGUUGAGCUUAAUCUGCUGAAUUGUAGGUACAAAACAUUUUCUUUCAUCAACAGUAGCUUACAUGGGCCUGACAGAAGCAUUUGAUGAUAUUCUGGACGCUUCCCAGAAGCUGACUUGCUUGGAGCAUCUAUACAGAUUGUAUCAGAUAAAGGCUUGCAUCAGACAGAUAUUCCUCUGGUGGAAAUUUGGAGAAGCAUGCCCAAAUUUUAGCUUCUACAAUUUCAUCAGGAAGGUUUAGUUGUAAAUGUAUGUUUUCAUGACUUGCAAAGGUUUUUUUGCUUUCAUGGUGAUUGAAAGCUAGUAGGUGGGCAUUCUGGGAGUGUGUUGCUCAAAUCCGGUAAUGCCUAGUACAUAAGGUGAGACAUUUGUUUGCUUCAAAGAAGAAAAAUCCAAUUUUCCAGUUGAUCACAUCAUUGUAGAUGGGGUACCUACCAAUCUAAGGAUAUGAUUUUCCAUUAUCCAUUUCUUUC